CGCUCGGCCCCGCCUGUGCCCGGGAGCCCCUCGAUCCCAAAGCCUGGGACCAGGCCGCCCAGUACUGGCGAUUGCGCUGUGCUCAGCGGUUGGCGGCCGCAGGGACCGCUGUGUCCUUUCCGUGGUCUUUUCACGUUACCGCUUUGGGCCAGCCCGUGAGCUUCUGGAGGAUAGGGCUGCAGAAAAUUGAAGUGUGGGGCACUUGGCUCAACUCGGGGCUAACCACAUCGAAGGGUUGCUCAGAAAUACUGGAAAUUCUAGAAUGGUUUAGUUGGAAAGAGCAACGCCUAGAACGUGCUGGGCAAAAAAUAUAUGCAUAUGUGCUGAAUGAAAGAAUCUGAGAACAUCAUCUAGUGCUCUAGGUAUUUGACAAAGAUUAGUCUGAGCCCUAGAGAAGGCUCUGGAGUGAAAUCCACUGGCUCUCAGUCCCAAAACGAUCCUG
rnacentral:lncRNA from 1 species